rnacentral:rRNA from 1 species
UACAGAGGGGGCAAGCGUUGUUCGGAAUUACUGGGCGUAAAGGGCGCGUAGGCGGCCUGCUAAGUCGAACGUGAAAUCCCUGGGCUCAACCCAGGAACUGCGUCCGAUACUGGUUGGCUUGAAUCCGGGAGAGGGAUGUGGAAUUCCAGGUGUAGCGGUGAAAUGCGUAGAUAUUGGGAGGAACACCAGUGGCGAAGGCGACUUUCUGGACUGUGUCUGACACUGAGGCGCGAAAGCUAGGGGAGCGAACGGG